rnacentral:rRNA from 1 species
GACGAACGCUGGCGGCGUGCUUAACACAUGCAAGUCGAACGAAGUGGCGAACGGGUGAGUAACGCGUAAUCAACCUGCCCUUCAGAGGGGGACAACAGUUGGAAACGACUGCUAAUACCGCAUACUGAAGGAGGGGAUUGCGUCUGAUUAGCUCGUUGGAGGGGUAACGGCCCACCAAGGCGAUGAUCAGUCGCAGGGCGUGGAGGAGUAAUGGCAAAAUUGGGACUGAGAAACGGGCCAGACGCCUACGGGAGGCAGCAGGGGGGAAUCUUCCGCAAUGGAGGAAAGUCUGAAGGAGCAACGCCGGGUGAGGGAUGACGGCCUUCGGGUUGUAAAGCUCUGUUAAUCGGGACGCGGUACCGGAAUAGAAAGCCACGGCUAACUACGUGCCAGCAGCCGCGGUAAUAC